rnacentral:snRNA from 1 species
AUACUUACCUGACUGGGGUGAUGCCAUGAUCAUGAAUAUGGUUUUCCCAAGGUAAGGCUUAUACUCCCUGUGGCCUGACUUGCAGUUUCCUCAGAUGCAGUAAACUUGAGAAUUUAAUAUGUGGUAGUAGAGGACUGUACUUUCCCCUG